rnacentral:rRNA from 1 species
UACGGAGGAUCCAAGCGUUAUCCGGCUUUAUUGGGUUUAAAGGGUGCGUAGGCGGCUUUUUAAGUCAGGGGUGAAAGACGGUAGCUCAACUAUCGCAGUGCCCUUGAUACUGAAGAGCUUGAAUGUACUUGAGGUAGGCGGAAUGUGACAAGUAGCGGUGAAAUGCAUAGAUAUGUCACAGAACACCAAUUGCGAAGGCAGCUUACUAAAGUAUGAUUGACGCUGAGGCACGAAAGCGUGGGGAUCAAACAGG